rnacentral:rRNA from 1 species
AACGAACGCUGGCGGCAUGCCUAACACAUGCAAGUCGAACGAGACCUUCGGGUCUAGUGGCGCACGGGUGCGUAACGCCUGGGAACCUGCCCUUAGGUUCGGAAUAACUCCCCGAAAGGGGUUCUAAUACCGGAUAAUGUCUUCGGACCAAAGAUUUAUCGCCUUUGGAUGGGCCCGCGUUGGAUUAGCUAGUUGGUAGGGUAAAAGCCUACCAAGGCGACGAUCCAUAGAUGGUCUGAGAGGAUGAUCAGCCACACUGUGACUGAGACACGGCCCAGACUCCUGCGGGAGGCAGCAGUGGGGAAUAUUGGACAAUGGGCGAAAGCCUGAUCCAGCAAUGCCGCGUGAGUGAUGAAGGCCUUAGGGUUGUAAAGCUCUUUUACCCGGGAUGAUAAUGACAGUACCGGGAGAAUAAGCUCCGGCUAACUCCGUG